rnacentral:lncRNA from 1 species
GAUGACCUACAGCAAACUGAAGAGGUCUUACCAGUGAAAGUCAUUAGUCUGACCAGUGUUAGCACCAUACCAAGCUAGAAGUUCCAAGACUGUUACUUGACCCCUCCUGCCUUUCCCAACUGCUCUCCAACAGCCAGAACUUCUGUGGCCUUAAACUACACUAAGCCUGCAGACUCACAGUGCAACAUACCCUCUGGUGCUGAUUCGACGGACCAUUUGGAGAGAACAGGUUGUACACCUGAAAUCUUAUUUCUUAGGACAUAUUAAAGUAAUUUUGAGUUAAAACUCCAUUCACUCACAGCAACAAGAGAGAUAAAACUGUUAGUAUUUAUCCAAAGAAGAAUGCUACUUUCUACUGUUGAUCUUGACAAAACAACCUCAGUGUCAUAAACCACUGAAAAACUACAUAGAAUCAAACUUGCUGGCAGAAGAACCAUGCCAUCAGUCUGUCUUCAAAUAGAGAUCAGGAGAUGUUACAUUACUGACUGAAGUAAAAAUCUUUCUCCUGAUGUAGAACCUAAUUUUUCAAUACAUCUCCAGGCAAGAUAAUAUGACUAAAUUCAUUUGAAUUAUUUUAUUUCUACAUUUUGCUUCAUAGUAAAAGGAGUACAGGUAAGUAAGUAGCGUAGGUGUUCCAACAUAGCAGUAAUGAGUAAAAGCACCUUCCUAAACCUCCUGUUAUUGUCAGAGAAGCAACUAUCUCUCCGGCAGGACAGAUCAAAUCAAUCAUGUUGAAUGUACAUGUGAAUCACUACAUGGUUUUAUUCAUCUCUGUUAACAGGCAUGUUGCUCAGCCUCUGCAGCUGUCCAAUGGGCUCUUGUUACACACAUAAGACUUUCUUGCCUCUCUGUUCUUCAUAUUCAAAGACUGUGGGUUUGAGAAUCUAAAGCAUUUGAACCUGAAUAAUUUGUUUCAUGUUCCAGGCUGACAGCCUAGAUUUGAGGUAUGUGCAAAGGAAGACAAUAAUGACAGGUCUAGAAACAUCUAAUGCACAUAAACACAGCAGACACAGUCAGGAGUAUCCAUGAGACCUAAAGUAGUCCAAUGAGAUUGGGAUCUGAAAUGUGAAAUGACAAAGAAAUUCUUAUUGUGGCACAGCAAAGGAGGCAGAAUUAAUAUCCCAGAGCAGCAUGUGGCAAUGACAACACUCAGUGCUCCAUUCUGAAGGUGUCAGCAGUGUGAGCUGCAGGGGGGUUGUACCUGGUGACAAUGGAAGCUGUGUGCUCACCCAAGCAUGGAGUUCUGCAUGUGAUUUGUGCCAUUUUCCCUGAAAACGCAAUCUCUGAUCCUGAUUUUUCAUUCCCAUAUGAUUCCUAAUUUCCUUUUAGUAAACUCAAUUUGUUCUUAGGUAGAUUUGAC